rnacentral:lncRNA from 10 species
GACAUUCUCCAGACCUCUUGGCUGGUAGUUCAGCCAUUGGGCUCCUAGGACCCUAGGACCAUUGCUCAGAGCCUAACGUGAUUUGUUCUCUUGGCAAAAUGGCCUGAUGUCAAGGCCAUGCCAUCCUUAUUUUCAAGAGUUUUCUUGCCUCUUGUGAUAUAACCUGAGUGAUUUUAUUCUUGCAACAAGAAAGGAUCAUUUUCAUUUGUCAGAUGAGAAAACUGAGGUUCAGGUUGCUUAGGUAACAGGCAUGACGUCAUGAAGAUACGCUGAUGCCAAAGGAAGGAGAGAUUCUGAAAACAGCAUCCUGGAAGUUAACUGAGCCCUCAAGGGCUCCUCCUGAACCAGUAUCCUGGAGGAAGAGGACCACAUGUGCAACCGAAUAGCUGCUUCUUGGAGUGCUGUGUUGAAAAGCAUCAGAGGGGAAGGCACGGAACUGGCAGGGAUGAGGAGCAGCAGGCGGACCACACGUCCUGAAGCAAGAGACAGAGAUGGGACUGUGGGGAAGUCAGUUCUCACCACCUGACACCCGCAGGCCCCCCUACAGGGAUGCAGUGGGUUGUGUUACACGCACAACUGUUGACUUUCAUUUUGGCCACUGUUGAGGAAUUUACAAAUUGAACCAAUUUGGAGACUUAAAUUUGUUGGCUGGAUUUAACCCCAAAACUAGGUUUUCUCUAAUCAGUGGAAAGAGGUCUUCUAGCUCUUUACUUGAAAGUUUAAAAUAGAGAGUUUAUGUAAGACAAUAAGACCUUCCAGAGACUCACUUGGAAUCUUUUCACCAAUUACUCUCCUGCUGAGGAGCUUCUAUGCUAGUCUCAGGUAAGUCCAUUCCCAGCAGCCAGGGAGGCCAGCUCUUGCUUUCUUUUGUAAAAGUGCACACAGAUAGCUCUUGACCCAGGCACUCCAGAGAUGUAAUAACAACAUGCAGAGAUCUGUAUGUUAGAAUCAAGGCCCAGUUUCGCUCUGGGGGAAAAACUCAAAACAAUUCUCACAGGCGUUCAUUUUAGGGCGCUUCAGAAGGCUCCAUGACCCAAAAUCAGGACACCUCCUGGCAACAGUGCAGAGUUGAGAUAGGGGUGUGGGAUGUCACAGCCAAGGCCUCGCCACUCAGCCCCAAAGGGCUGUACAGGAAAAAGAGGAGCUGUUGAGCACAAACUUGUCAGAAAAUUCAUGAAUCUCAGGCCUUUGCUUCCCUCCAGGAGGCAUUCAUGUACUGGCUUUACCGGCUCACAGGAGCUAAUGUGACUUUUUUGGGAAUUUUGCAAAGCAAUUGUUAAACACAACCAAUAUUAAAAAUUAAAGUAUACAAACUUGGA